GGGGAAUAUUGCACAAUGGGCGCAAGCCUGAUGCAGCAACGCCGCGUGAGGGACGAAGGCCUUCGGGUCGUAAACCUCUUUUAGCAGGGAAGAAGCGAAAGUGACGGUACCUGCAGAAAAAGCACCGGCUAACUACGUGCCAGCAGCCGCGGUAAUACGUAGGGUGCGAGCGUUAUCCGGAAUUAUUGGGCGUAAAGAGCUCGUAGGCGGUUUGUCACGUCUGCUGUGAAAACUGGAGGCUCAACCUUCAGCCUGCAGUGGGUACGGGCAGACUAGAGUGCGGUAGGGGAGAUUGGAAUUCCUGGUGUAGCGGUGGAAUGCGCAGAUAUCAGGAGGAACACCGAUGGCGAAGGCAGAUCUCUGGGCCGUUACUGACGCUGAGGAGCGAAAGCGUGGGGAGCGAAC
rnacentral:rRNA from 1 species